AAUUUCAGCGUUCUUUCUGCAAUGGAAACAAAUAGCAUAAAAGAAUACUACAUGUUCUCAGAAUGAAAUGCUAUCUUCUGCUUUAAUUCCUAUGUUCGACAGCCUAGUAGUGACCUCACAGUGGAUUCUGUGAUGAAAACUAUGCUGCAGCUGGAGACUCGAGUCUCCAGUCAUGUGGAGUGCUAUCUCACACCUGUGCUCACGAAGCCAAUGUGUGUGCUUCCCUUUGCCUCAACCCCUUCAGGCUUUAGUUCCUCACAACUUUGGGCUGGGAAGCAAGAACAGGAUUCUUGAUUCUUCAGGGGAUACUCAGGUGGAGGAGGAAGAAGAAAUCAGCAUUUGGAGACAAUAAAAUGGGAAAGCCUAUCAUCUAGACCUGCUUCGUCCAAAAUUAUGGGCUUGUUCUGAGAAACAACAUUUUGUGAAACAAAUGAGUGUGAUGUUUGCUGACCCUGAAGGAGUUAAAAUGGAGAAACAGUAUCCCCGUGGCCUCGGAUAAUUC
rnacentral:lncRNA from 1 species